rnacentral:rRNA from 1 species
GAUGAACGCUGGCGGCGUGCCUAAGACAUGCAAGUCGAGUGGGUUUAGGCCCACGGCAAACGGGUGAGUAAUAUCUAGGAACAUACCUAUAGUUGAGCAUAACCUACCGAAAGGUAGAGCAAUUCUCAAUGUGACCGCAAGGUUAAAGUCGCAAGACGCUAUAGAAGUGGCCUGGACACCAUCAGCUAGUUGAUAAGGUAAAAGCUUACCAAGGCUAUGACGGUUAGGGGUCCCGAGAGGGAAAACCCCCACACUGGAACUGAGACACGGUCCAGACUCCUACGGGAGGCAGCAGUUUGGAAUUUUGGACAAUGGGCGAAAGCCUGAUCCAGCGACGCCGCGUGGACGAUGAAGGCCUUCGGGUUGUAAAGUCCUUUUGUAUGGGAAGAAUAUUUUGACGGUACCAUGCGAAUAAGAGGUUGCUAACUCUGUG